CAUGGAACAGUGGAUGAAGAUGCAGAUGAUAUUUGGGAAAUUUGCAUAAAUGUGCAGUUUGUUGGACACGUGUCAGGGACUACAGCUUCAGUUUGGGCGGAUAAAUGGAGACUUUGGAAUACUCAUCACAUAUCACAAUGUACUGCUGAGUGCAUGGACUCUCUGAAAGGAUUUCUGCCAUUUCUUUAUUUCCCUGUAAAAUGAACCUGCAGUUAGAUUCGGGAUACUCGGAUGUGUUGAGAUAUUUCUCGAUCAGAAAAUCGAGACACGCGAUCAAGUGGCGGUUCGUUUUCUCCUUCUGCAUCCAGCACUUCCUUUCCAGCAAUCCCUCCGCCGUUAUAUAUCGCAGCUUAAACUGGCACUUGGUUUCGAUCGUCUUGAUCUCGUCCGGUACGCCUCUGAUGGUGAAGGUGAUGGAGAACCUGUUGCACGUGAUCUUUAACGCCUGAUGUUUGGACCCCACCACGUCUUUGGCUUCUGUAAAACAGGAUCUCAUCUGGUUCUGGCAGGAGUGCACGCUGAAAUAGAUGCUCUUGACGUCCGCGUCCACGACCGCGUCGCCGUCGCAGUAGACGCAGCAAUCGAUGCGAGUUUUACCGUCCUCGGCCGACACGGUGUAAAUCACGCCGCCGACUUUGCCGAUUUUCAGACACUGACAUUCACUUUUGACCUGCAGGGUCAUGGCUUCGUCGAGAGGGUUGUGUCUAAACAUGCGCUCGGAAAUAUCCAGGUUGGAGAGGAGGACGUUGUCCUUGCAUGCCUUCUCCUUCAGCUUCUGUUUCACUGACAGUAUGCCUUGCGUGUCAGGAUGCACAUCAAAGGUUCUAGAAAAGCAGAAACAUCAUGGCAUCGUUUGGGAACGGUGUAAAUGAGAGAGGUUUUACACCGUCCCGAUACAGGCCGGAAAACUUUAAAACAACAGGUAUGACGCACAACGAAAACAUGCCAUGAGGAAAUAACCCUUACUCUGGUGCUCCAGACAUCGUGUAGAGGAGCGACAGAGCUCUUCGAGUUCCUUCACACAAAGCUGUAGAAAAUAAAAAGCACAGAAACACUGAUCAGUGCAGCACUCAGGGUCCAUCGACUAAACCCUGUCGUGGUUCCGUGAAUAGACGUGUUCGUGUCCCUCAGCGUAAGGGCCGGAUAUCCUCUCUUUCGGUUUCAUUUCCUGCACAGCAGAACCGCCCGGACGUUCUUAAAGGUACACGAUCACAAUAAUACCCAGACUUUCUGUUCUGCUCUCGUCUGCUCGGUCCUCUCCGUCUUUCCUCCGUUCUGCUCGUCUCUCUGUUCUGUACUUUAUGGUUCUCUGUUCUGGUCUGUCCUGAACAUUCCCUGCGUCUCUGCUCUGCUCUGCUCUGCUCUGCUCUGCUCUGUACUGUUCUGUACUGUACUGUUCUGCGUUCUUCUGCGCUUCUCUUUUAUUCUCUGUUCCUGUUCUGCCUUUCUUCUCUUCUCUGUACUGUUUUCUUUUUCUGCUGGAAGAAAAGACACUUUGUGUUAAGUGAUUGAUUUAUUUUGCUCGUACAAAAGAAAACAUCAUCGAGUCUCAGGGUAAAAACCGUUUCGUCAGCACUGAACAUGGAAAUGUCUUUACAAGUCUUCUGAUGGGUUUGUUGUUGUUGUUGUUGUUGUUGUUUUUUUGUUUUUUACAGAAUGUCUACUGCUUCUCAUAAACAAGAGUUUAUAAAGUUACAGGUGAUUGUACAAAUAGAAUUGUUAUGCAAUGCAUGUAGAAAGAUGAAAGUAAUUUUAUAUGAAGUACUGCAUCUGCGUCAUAUAAUAACAUCUAGUAGCAUAAGGUCGGUAUCCUGGCUCUUCUCUAGCCCCGCCCAUCUUUCACGCCCUCUGCUCGGCGGGACAUGUCUCCGUUCUCCAAGGCUCCGUUCCCAGUGCGCUUCAGUGGUGUUCUGGUGAGACUCGGUGGCGUAGCGCACUCAUCUCCUCGAUCAGUUGCGUGUCGGAGGAGGAAGUUUCCCAAAAGCGUCGUAAAGGUAAGAUCGUCUCAACUAGGAGAGAGAGAGUGUUCGGCGUGACGCUCGCUCUACCGUUUGACCGUGACCUUUGCACUGCGACGCUUUUGUGAAACGCUGGAUCUGGAGUCUGUUUGGGGUCGCAGAAUCUACCUGUGUCCGUGUUUGUGUUUCCUCGCCACAACUGCCGGUUAUUGAAUAUCUAUCUAUCUAUCCAUCUAUCCAUCCGUCCACCCGAGUAUCCUCCUGGCCCCUCGACCUUCACUCGUACUCCCACAGCUCCAUGUCCUGAACCCUGUGGCUGUGAGCUCGAUUCUGUCCGUCGGUGAAGACGAAGUGCUGCGUGCUGUGGUAUCCGUCGCGUCCGCAGACGAGCUCCACCAGCUCUCCGUCACUCUGGAUGAGGACGCGGAUGUUUUCCUCCUGAAACUGACUGUAGUUGAUCAGCAGGUGCUGGAAACAAGCCAGCAGGCCUUCCUUCAUCUCGCCGCUUCUCUCCAGACGUGUUUUGGUCUCCAGGAGCUUCUCCAGGUUCAGCGUUUUGCCGAAGCACACUCGUCGGCGAGGGCAGACGAAAAGGCUGCGCUGAGGCUGCUGGGUAGUGUAAGUAAUCUGAAGCUCACCGCACACGAUCCUCAGCUCCAGCUGGCUCUGAGACGACGGAUCCGACUCGAUUUCCGCGCGUAAAACGCGCCUCGCUCGAUCCACGCAGCUCUCCAGCUCGUCUCUGCAGCGAUGCCCGGCGAAGUGAGACUCGCUCAGGCACGAGGGGACGAGACGAGACCCGACCGGGACUUUCUGAUGAAGCUCUGGACCGUUCUGACCCACACGGACCACGUACAGCAGGACGGGGUUUCCUGCAGUGAACCGAACCAGCUGCCUCUCUCCUUCAAAGGUGAGAGAGACGUCACGGCGUUUCGAGGCAGGGAAUUUCUCCAGCGUCUGGAUCGCAAAAUCCAAGCAGGUCUUCAUGUUGGAAUCCAGAAAGCCUUCUUGGCGCAGUUUCACCUUCGCUGAGAGGAACGUGUCCAAAUCCAAACACGGCACGGUGAAGUUUUUUCUAAAAAAAAAGAGAGAGAGAGAACAGCGACAUAACUGUGUCGUAUAAACCGGUGAGAAUCCGCUCGUCUCCUGCUGCUGAUGCCUUGGAGCUGUGAUGAAGGUUAAUGAUAUUUAACGUAAACACAUUCAUCCACCACGUGGUCCUCGCUUUCUGUCUCCUAAACACACCUUUUAUUUUUCAGAAACAAUAACAAGGACGCUUUCUUUUCACCCAGCCGCCAUGACCUACGAGCUGAACACACCCCGGGAGCGCAAAAUCACGUAAAAGUGAAGUCCUUUUAGUGAAAAAUGUCAGAAUCGCAUCCAUCACGACGGCUGAGACGGCUAACCGUCGUCCAGACGCUGUUUUCAAAUACUUAUUUUUUUUUUAAACGAGUUAAAAGCAGUAUACUGUACUUCAUUUUCAAACACUAGCCAGACUUUCCUGUAACACAACAGUUCUCAAAAGUCUUGCAUCUUCGGAAAUUUCCAUGUGAAUACAUAAAAAGUCACAUUCAAAUGUCAGGCGAACAUGUGUACGUAUCUCUUUCAUCGAACCGUUAGCAUCAGCAUGCUCACGCUUUCCAGCUUUAUUAAACGAGUGACGUCUGGAUCAAACCCUUUUGAAUUCGGUUCCUUCAGACUGUAAUCAACACGCAGUUAAACAGCUCUCGCAUCAUUUUCUGACAGCUUCAGGCUCUGUUAGGAUCAGCGUUAGUUCUACUGAGAGGAAGGAAAUACAAGGAAAUGGGCUCUUACAUCUCACUCAUGAUGGAGAUCGACGACGUUUUGCCGAGCAGCGAUGCACUCCUGAGCCCCAGAUCUUUACUCCCCGAUGAAGACACGGACGUCGCCAUGACACGGAGGUGACGCUCCUGAUCGGAGGAUAUGAGGAGAAGACACGGCGUGAGCACAUCGCUGUCUGGUGCAGACUCGACAGCUCUGUUUAAAUCAAUAAAUAGGAUAGAAUUCAUCUAAUAACGUAGUGAAGGUCACCCGAACGGCUCACCUGUGUGCCGUGGCGUCUCCUCCUUUCUCUCGUCGGUGUGUGAAUCAGCGGCGUUUUAAAAACACACACACACACACACACACGUGUGAGUUUGUUUCUCAGAAUCCCCGAGUCAUCAUGCAGGUGUGUGUUUAUAAUCAUCACUUUACCGUCAACGGUCCACACACACCAACACACCAACACACCUACUUUUACACAGUUGGGCAGAUUUGAGACGUCGCUGAGAGGAAUACGAGAUAUUUAAACACCUCACAAAAUCAGCAAACUAAGCACAAGGGUUGUUCCCUAAAGCAGGGGUUCCCAAACUUUCCCAGGGCGAGGCCCCCCAAAUGGCAUUACCAUUUGACCGAGGCCGCCCUUUUGCAAGGUGUCUUUAAAAACACAUUAAAAAUACAGACUUCUGAAUAUAUCCCCCUUUUUUUUAUUAAAGAUUACAUCUUACAUCUUUACAUUACAUUACUUUAGGAAUUGUGUGUGUGUGUGUGUGUGUGUGUGUGUGCGUGCGUGUGGUUGUCUCAGAGUGAGAAAGAGAAAACAUACUUUUAUUUAUUUUUCACACCAAAUGAUUGCGGCCCCCCCGAGCGCCCCCUGGCGGCCCCGACUUUGAAAACCACUGCCCUAAAGCAUAGAACUCUGUGUAUAUUGCAUCAGGCAAUAUAUUAUAUAUGAUUAUUAUUUGUAUGUAUGUGCAACGCUAGUACAUGAGUGAUAUGAAAUACAGUUUGUAAUGUUUUUACACCAUUGUCGCAGAAUUUUAUUUUCCCUUUGGGAAGUCGCACAAGAAGUCAUGUUCUAGAUCUGUAACACGGACGGCGCGGAAGCCCGCCCCUUCGCCUGACGCGGUUGUCGGUAGCCCCGCCCCUUGUCGCGUGUAGCUCUUCCGGGAGGCGGGGCCAAACGCUGUGGCCAGAAAACGAAUCUCACCAGGAGAAGACUGGUCAGGGUUGAGUUUUCUGCUCAUCUCACGCCUUCAGCUCGUUCUGACAAGAAGGAACAAACAGGACUCGUCCUCAUGGCCUUUGUAAAGGAGUUCUUUUUCCCCUCCCUGGAAACUAAAUAUCUCCUAGAGACGAAAGUGGAACUGAGCCAGCUGGGUGUUCUUGAACCUGAACUCAAACGCAAUCUGCUGUUUGCUAUUUCAGCGAUGGACACGUUGCCGCUCAUGCUGAAGAAAAGCGCAGGACUUCUGGUCGAAGGCAGUCAGAUUCUGAUCAGCAUCACAGCGGGUAACCCCAGUCUGCAUUGCGUCGUGUUUCAGGACCACGAAGGCAUCAGACUUCACCAGACAAUAAAACCGAACAGAGAGUUGCGUCUCGACGACUUCCAUAAGGCUUUUUUCCACGGCCACGACUGUCCUCAUGAUACACCAUGUUGGGAACAGGCUAUGAAUAUCAGAUCCGUCAGCAGUAGACAAUUAGAACUAAAUAUUGUCUGCAAAGAGCUGAGAGUAACCUUCUCCGACCCUGCUCCCGUAGAGGCCAUUGUGGUGCCGACAUCUAAGAAUAUUGCACAAAUCUGAUUUAGAAAAAUAUAUAUAUAUAGAUAUAUAUUAAUAUAUAUUAAUUUCCUCUUUCCUGUUCAAACCUGUGACGCCAUCUGCUGGAAUCUGCCUCUGAAAGAUGAGUGCGCACUUUGAGUGUUGUAGGACGUUUGUUUGUUUAUAUUAUCCGAAGGUCCCUGUUUCUCCCUGCACAGCGGUCUUCCCUUAUUUCUACUGCUUGUCUUCUACAGAAACAUUACACACGACCAUUAAGCCUAAUGUUUUCAAUGUUUUAUUGCCAGUUUUCUAACCGUUUAUAAUCAAAGCCCACUUGUAGUGGAAAUAUGUCUGUUCAGUAGAAUGAGUAUAAUACUAAUACUGUUACUCUGCUAAAAUAAAGAUUCUCAUUAUGUAAUCAGUCUUGAGCUCAGGAUCAGUCCAGGGGUCCUGGAACACAGACUUUCCACUGCACCUUUUUCAUCUGUACACUGAAUUAGGAAUUGAGGAACAGUUCACCUCAGCAAUAACAAGUUCAACAUGGAAAGGAAGUCAACGAGCCCGAUUUGUCCGCUACAGCCAUUGACAUCGGACGGAAGUGGCUGCUUGUGUUCUAAUCCCGCAGGUGACCGGACAUGAUUGUAAAUAUAGUACGCGUGUGUGGAGACGUCUGAGCGAUGGGCUCACACGACACAGCUGGGAGAGUGCUGAUUACUGAGAGUGUGCACCUUGCUCAGUGGUGAGUUCAUCUGUGCUUUGUUUUCAAGAGCAAAUACACGGCGUCAGUGUGAGUGAGCCAGGUUAACAGUGAGUGAUCUGCCUUGGCCAAUGAAAGCUUGCGGUUAUUGCUUCACCUGAGCUGCAAUCAGGUGACAGUACAGCUGUGCAGAGCUGAUGCUCAUACUUUAACAUUUCUGACAGGCAUUCUGAGUGAUUUUUCAACACUUCAGAUGGUGAGGUUAACACACACACUCUCACUCACAUACAUAUUACACUGAUGUACAUCACUGUUUGUUUGUGUAAAGGUGCUGUGUCGCCUCCUGCUGGUCUGGUUAGAGUAUUACACAAUGUAUCUAGCUUUGUACUUUAAUAUACUUUUUAAUCUUGUGUUAAUUCUCAUAGAUUUCCAUAUAAUUCAUUAAGGAUGAUCAAUUAAUCACUAUUUUGAACAUGUAUUAUCUGAUUAAGUGAUACACAAAGAUGUACUACUAUUAUUAUUAUUAUUAACAGGAUCUGUCUUUGAUUAUUGCAGUUUGCUGCUUUAUUGUGAUUAAUUGUGAUUAUUAACUCAGUUAAUCCCUGCAGCACUGGAAUGUAUUUUAGGAAAACACGGAUUGUAUCAGAAGAAAGGUUCCGUUAGGUUCUCUACUACAUCCAGUUCUCAGCUGUGAGGUUCUGGAGCUUCAGGGCUGUAGGUGAAUACGCAAUAAAAAUGACUGAACUGAGAGAACAAAUUCAGAUCUAAAUAAUGAUAAGAAGGAACCACAUGACCACACGGCCUCCACAAUUCUCCAUAUUUUUCAAAAGAUUUUAUAUUCGAAUAUCGUUUUAUUUGUUUUUCCCUCUGUGUCUUCGUGAUUUCAUUUACGGAAUAAUGAUCUCCGUGUGCUAUUUAAAUUACUAAGUAGUGAGAAUAAAAUCACAGGAUAACAAGGAACAAAUAAUUAGGCCUGGCCUCCAAUCAGGGUCUACCUCAUUAGCAUAAAACCAAAGACAUCUGGGACCAGGGAAGCUACCAUGGACUCCUUAAGCAGGAGUCUUUUUAAAGAGACCUGUCUGAGAGAAUGAGGAGAAUGAGGAAGGCGGGGGAGGGUGAGUGACCAGUGUGGGUGAGAGGUUUUUAUACACAGUGUGUACACACCGCCGUCUUCAUACUGCUACAGCGCCACUUUUUAUUCUUAAACCUGCCAAAACACAGAUUAGAACCAGAAGGUUCAGUAACCACAACACUGACACUCACGCUCAUCUAACAUUCCUCGUAUCAGUGUCAGGUCCAGGUUUCUUCUCAUUAGCAUUAUGCACCUGUUCCUUCUGUGGUGUGGUGAUUUAUGAUGACAAAAGCCCACCACACGGGUGUAGUUUCUGUCUCUUGGUGGUGUAGUGGUUACAGUUCAUGCCAAUGAUGGUGUUCCAGAAGGUGUGGGUUCUCUUCCACCUUUUGGCUGGUUUAAGACAAAAAAAAAAAUCCUGCAGCCUCAUGACGUGAUUUGUGAUGACAAAAGUCCAACACACGUGUGUAGCUUCUGUUGCUUGGUGGUGUAGUGGUUAGAGUUCAUGUUUGUGGUGUGUUUUUUCAGGUUCUAAGGCACCUUUUGGCAGGUUCAAGAAUCAAAAGUGGUGCUAUGAAGGUGUGACGGAGGGAGUGGUGUGUAGGCCUCUGUGGCUCAGUUGGCUAAGUCAUCAUGGCUGUGGAGCAGGAGGUGCUUGGAUCAAACCCCAAAUGGAGUACUUGGCUGGAGUUUGGAGGUGGAGCCUGGACUCAAACGCUGUUCCGCUUCCUGAACCAGGUACAGACUUUACCCGCUGACCCAGCAGUCCACACAGAACACCUGCCUUCCUCACAAGGUUUAUGUUUCACUUUAUACCACCUACUGUCGCAGUUAAUAUAAGGAGACAUCACAAACUAAAUCUGACAGAAGCCUUGAACUGUGUUCCCCUCUCUCUCUCUCACACACACACACACUCACUCAGCACUUACCAGGUGAGCUACUGGAGCUGACAUGUAACCAGCACUUACCAAAACACUUAUCCUCCUCGUUACAGCUCACGCUCACUACGACUCAACCACCUGUAAAGAAACUCCAAACACAGACCAGACGAGUUUGUGGCUCAGGAGUAAAACGCUUGUCUCUGAUCAGUACGUACUGAAUGUCAAGCGUCAGAGCCUCACCGUGGAAAACUCUCCUGUGUGUGGAGGUUGUUUUCAGUAAGUUAAACUAGCAAAAAAAUCGUAAUUAUAACUGGAAGGAAAACACACGCAGUCACGUCCUAAUUUAAAUAUAUUAUUUUAAAAGGAAUAAUAUACAGCUUUAUUUCAACCAUGAAACGAUAUUCAUUACCAAACACUGAUUUCCGGGUUGAAGUGAACCUUGCUGAAAGUUUCACCUCAACUCUGAACCUCCGGGAAGGCGUCCAGGUUUUGGUCUAAAAUAUUCAGAGCCACAAAAACAGCCCCAAACCGUGAUUCAGUAAGAGUUUAGGUCCAAUUCCUGAGAAAUUUCCAUCAGUUCCAGAUUUCUUGAAAUGUUUUGUUUCUUCUUAGGUUCCUUGCUGAAGUGAAAAGUAUUUUUAACUGCUAAUGUCAUUUGUAUCGACAACAAUCUGACUGUAUUCACAGUUUGUUCAACUUUUAAAAAUUGUUUUGUUUUUUGUUUGUGUGCAUGCACGUAUGUGUGUGUGUGUGUGUGUGUGUGUGUGUGCGCGCGCUUGGUUCUUAUCCACAAAAAAACACUAGUUAUCCCAAUCUGGAAAAAGUGACAGCUCCUCCAAGGACAAAUAGUUUUGUGUGUGUGGAUGUGUUUGGGCUGUUCAUGUGCAUACGCCCACCCCCACCACCCACCCACACACACACACACACACACACACACACACACACACACACCUUGAUAAAUUGCCAGAGAUAUGAAGCAAUCAACCAAAUUGGACCUCGCGUGAGUAUUUUCCCCCACAGAUGUGGUGUGUGUGUGUGUGUAUAUACACACUCUCUCUCUCUCUCUUUCUUUCUAGCUUAUGAAACAGAUUGUGAUCCUUAAGUCGUUUCCCCCAAACUGCUUCCAAACUGCUGCUUGCACUUAAAUAAAUGAAAACUCGUGUUUUCUUGAUACGUGAAGAAUAAAUCAUGGCCAUACCAGGUAGCGUUCCUAUCUCAGCAUAUCCCCAAGUGUUUCACUCCUCUUACAUCGCAGCAAAUUACCAACGAUUACCAUUAAAAAAAUUUAAAAGGACGACACACGAUAUAUAUGUUUAUAGUUACAUUUAAUGUUGUGGAGCGUCCGUUUAAGUUACAGCAGCUAUAAACAGUCCUUCCCUCUGCAGCUUCUCUUUUCCCCUCUCUCUCUCUCUCUCGAAGAUAAUAAAUUGUAAAUAAAUCGCUGCUUGUCAUGGUAAAGAGAAAUCGCAAAGUGUAAAAACCUGAAAAGCACAAGAUUGGAAUUUUACAAAGCUUUACAUUUCAUAUCACCGAUAUAUAUUAUUCGGUAAUAAACAAUUUUUUUUGUUUUUUUGGGGGGAAUUUAAAAAAAACUAAUCACGCAUCUAUAUUCAAAUAUUUUCAGCGUUCGAAAAUUUAGAUUCGGUUUUAGAUAUCACGCACAAAAACAACAACAAUUCAUGGAAUUCAGUUUGCAAUUUUUUACUAGUUUAGCAUCCAGGUAAUUGAGUCUGGGGUGAUACCUAGCCGAUCGGUGCACAGUAUUUCAGUCACGUGAGUGCAGGAAAAACCUGCAGGAGAGGAGGAGGAGGAGGAGGAGAAGAGGCGCUGCUGUGUAAAAUGGCGACAAGAGAAUGUAGCGCUCUAUGGUAGGUCAGUGUAUUUAUAUAGAUAUUGGGGAAUAAUGAAGAUUUGGAGCGUUAUUAUGUUGAACAAUGCAGUUAGUUUACAGUGUUGUUAAACCAGACCGUUAGUUAUAAAGGAAGAGCAUGAAUGAUCAUCAGUGUUUCUAAAGGUAGACCUUCUGUUAGGAAGCGUGUGAAGAUCCUGACCGCCAUUUUACCUGUUAAUUAGAGACUCAUCGGCUCAUUAAGAGUGAGUGAGCAAUCCGGCAAAGUCCUGCUGCUGUUUCUGGCUUCCACGCUCCAGGAAUAUCUUAUAGCCCAGUAGACAUAUAAAUUCACAUUAUUAUUAUUAUUAUUAUUAUUAUUGUUUGUCAUUACAUCCACUUAUAAUUGAAUUCUUUCUCGUUGUCAGGUUGGAACACCGGUUGGAUUUGUCCACCCUUCCUGGAGACCUGGAUAGUAACAGGCUCAUGGCUCUGUUCUGAAGAUUCACUGAAGCUCUGGUGCCACCUGCUGGAGGAAGUCUGGUUAUUAGGCUAUGCAAUUGAUAAAAUCUUGUAAGAACUGUUCAAUGUAUUUCUCUCAAUUUGGACUUUUCAGAAGACGUUGUUAGACAAGUGGAAACCGGCCAUCUUAAUUAGCGUGCACGGAGGGGUGCAGACGAAACCAAGCAAAAUAAAGUGCUGACGGGUGAUUGAUUAAUAUUCAUUGUCGCCUGUUGAUGUAAUUCUGGCACCUUGCCGUUUCAACCGUUUUUUGUUUGUUUCAUUCACGGGAUCUCUUUAUGAAAUGACUAACCUUAUCGCGUUUUGGGCGAGGCGGGAGAUUCCGAGUUUCUGUUGGAGGUGGUGAAGAUCUCUCAGACACAGCACGUUAUUACCUGUAUCUUUAAUUAAAAAAUAAAUAAAUAAAUAAAUGAAUAAAUAAAAAGAAACCAAUAAUUUAGUGCAAAAUCAGAGGCUUGUACACGAGUUAAUUUCUUUUAGGUAGUAUAAUGAUCAGCUUUGAUCUGUUUAUACACGAUUUACUUGGAUUUUGGGAUGCAGAACCCACCAAGUCCUUUAGAAAAUAUUCCAGUAGAAGCGGGCUGGAUUGCUCAGGAGUGCGAGUUCAGCGCUCUGCCUUACAACAGUUUAUUCAACUUGGAUGUUUGUUUCUUUAACGUGAAUCACUUCAAUAAAACUACUUUGAAUUUCAAGAAGUUUAAUAAAAACAAAAAUAGUUAUGAAUAUAGAAAGUAAACGUACAGUACUUCAAUGCUGUGAAUUCAAAAGUCCGUUACUGAGAAUUCGACGGCUUUUAAAAUUCCAUACCGUGUCCUGAAGACUCCGGACACUGGAGACUCCUUCCUCCGUGAUUUGUGUUUUCCUUCGCUAAAUAACCUUUUUAUUAAAUAAAAUCCGUUUAUUGUCAGGUUUAGAUUAUGGAAGCAGCCCGGCACCAAAACCUGCCACAGCGACUUUAAUCGUAAACACGGAGAGAGACAUGGCGAUAUUCCCACAUGACACACAAACACGUCAGCGUUCAUGAUUUACACUUAAAUCGAGUGAAUAACAGCAACCGUGAAACACGACAAUUUACAUUAAUACACUGACAAAUAUAAUGAACAUACACACACACACACACAAUAAAAUACAUAAUGUUAGCCUAAAAUUCACAUUUAGCCAACCUUUCAUUUUUAAAAAGUCUAUGUAGUUUUUAUAUAUAUAUAUAUAUAUAUAUAUAUAUCUCUAUAUAUUAGACACUUAAAUCUGAUCACACACAGAUAACAGACAUUAGACACACUGCUGUAACUGGACAGCUCGUACAGACAUGUUUACUUUGGUUCAAAAAGGAGACGGGAAAAAAAAAAAGAUUUUGAUUGACAUUAAUUAUGAAAAUUAUAUAGCACAAGCUGCUGGUAAUUUGUCGACUGUAUCUAUAGUUGUGCGUCUAAAGCGGAGUGUUGCUUAAACACCUAUAUACAUUAAAAUCAUUCACCGGUUUGGGGCUGAUGGAACCCGAAGAUGAUGAAUUUAAAGAAAAAGGAAAAAUUCCCGUCUAACAGAUUAACACCUUAAUAUCAAAAUACUGAAAUGUGUUGUAAGGGAAGAGCUCCUCUUCCUAGAAUCCAUACAUAUGGAAAAAUCUAUAAAAGUGACGAAAGAAAGAAAAAAAAGUUCGGGAAAGUUAAACAGUGUGGUGAAGUAUUUAAAACUUUAAAAAGGAAACUAUUUCAACUGAAAGUAAAACUCAGGAUGUCAUUCACACGUCUCAGCGAGUUAUAGACUACAGUUAGGGGGUGGAGUUAGUGUUAGAGGCGGGGUUAUUGUUAGGAUUAGAGUCAGGGUUUGAGCUGGAGGGUCAUCAGUACAAGUACUGACGCACUCGUGUAUUUCAAGUGGAGGUCAGACGGCGGUAGAAGCGUGACGACACAAUUGUUAUUUAAGGCACAAACUAUUGUCCAACAGUCUUUCCAUAUUAUUAAUGUUGCCAUGGAAUACACGCGACGCUGAAAGGGAAAAUUACAGCUUAUAUUAUAAAUCCUGUUCUACUUUUCUUAGAUCGUAGCGAUUCGAUUCGUUGUUACAAAAUAUACGUAUUAAUAUUUUAUCGUAUUUGCGCGGACAUGGUCUCGUGAAGCCUACCGUGGCUUUAGUGUAUCGUCUUACGCCUGGUUACUGUAGAGGCAGAGUUAGAGGUUGAGGUAGGUUUAGAGGCGGGGUUAGAAGCAUAUUUAGCAUCAGCGUCAAUCUCAUGAAAAAAAUCUCACCACAUCACACUUGUUCACUUGAAUUUCUACAAAUAGUUUAGGUUUUUAAAAAUUACUUUAAAAUUCAAAAUAAUUCCAUGUACGAGGGGAUGAAACGGUUCUUGAAUGGAUUUGAGGUUUUUCCGCGCUGUGACAGCUGCGUUCACGUUACAUCCUAACGACGGACGUGUGGGAGGGGCUUAAUGAUGGCUCCUCCCACCAUCAGCUGGUUCAAGACGUCUGUGAGACAAGAGAGCAAACGUGUGAGUGCAGCACCAAGAACUGUUUUUAUUUAUUUUUUUUACUGUAUUUAUUUAUGAUGUAUCAGAUCCGUUCGCGUUUAUACUACCGGAUACACCGUUUUCAAAAUCGGAACUCACCCGAGGGGAGCAGCAGUAUAGUCAGAGUCUCCGGCAUGGCGGCUGAUGGACGAGUCUCUGACACCGUGACCUUUGACCUCUUGACCUGAGGCGAGUCCGUCAUCACC
ensembl:lncRNA